rnacentral:rRNA from 1 species
UUAAUUGAAGAGUUUGAUCAUGGCUCAGAUUGAACGCUGGCGGCAGGCCUAACACAUGCAAGUCGAGCGGAAACGGCGGUAUUGAAGCUUCGGUGGAUUUACUGGACGUCGAGCGGCGGACGGGUGAGUAACGGCUGGGAACCUGCCCUGACGAGGGGGAUAACCGUUGGAAACGACGGCUAAUACCGCAUAAUGUCUUA